AUAGAAUCACGGAGUUGAUGGAGACAGUGUACGGUUUCGCUUCUCACCGCAGGACUGACCAGCUUUGGAAUUGUUACACUCAGUUUUCCUCUUUGGGCAUAGUUCGUGGGAUGGCCCUAGAACGAAGGCUCAUGAUAGUUCAUUUGGAAACUACAGACAAAUACCAAGGAAACAAUGAUCCCAUUGCUCAAAGUCAAUCACAGGAGGAAUUUCUCUGGAGGAACAAGAAGAAACAAUGUCUUAUUGGACUGCUUGACAAGGAAGCUUAUGGAAGAUAACUGGUUUCUUGAGGUCUGCCCUCUACAGAGGAGAACCAUUGUUCGAGAGGCAAGGAGAGCUUGGCAGAUUCUAGUCCGGACUCUGUCACUAAUCAGUUGGUGGCCAAGGAUGGGUUCAGCAGGGGUGGCUGGCUGAUACAGGGGCGGAAGUCAGGCUCAGAGUCAGACAGACCGGUGUUCUGAUGCUGACCCUGACUCUUAACUAACUGUGUAAAUAUGAACAAAGCCUUUCUAAGCCUCUUCUCCUCAGGUUUAUUCUUUCCACUGAAAGUGACAAAGAAAUUGCUUCAAACUUGUUCUGGUCCUAGAUCUGUUUCCCAAGCAGUCUGCCUGGCUGGGAAAUAUAGCUCGUACUGGGGACCACUUUGCUGUGCAAACAAGGAUGAGCUAUUUGCCCAAGGCCCUGCCUCAGCAGACUGUUACACGCUGUUAACACUUUGUGGGAGUUCCUGGGAAUACAUAGAAUUUAUCUACAUCCAUGUCAUCUUUGGAUGCUUGACCUGUCUUAUAUAGUUCUCUACCCCAGUAACUCAGCCCAGUCCCAUCAGGUCUCAUAUGUUCCUAGUCAAGUUACAGAACAUUCUCUUGCUGCUGUCCUUGAAGCAUCCUUUGACUUCAGAUGAUCUUCUCAAGGGGUAUCCAGGGCCAGAAAAUAUAUAUGGGGCUGCUCGGGACUGAGUUAAGGCUGACUGCAAAGGCAAUUCAUUGCCAUGCAUUCACUGGCUUAUCAAAUGUAUUACUGAGCUCCUAUCAGCAGCUGCUUCGUGUUAGAUGCCAAGGACACAGAGAUAAAAGGCGGGGUCCCUGCCUUCAAGUGGAGCACAGCUGCACCAUGCGCUGGUGAAAGCCGGCCAUGUGUGCUAAUCCUGACCUGCCUCUUACAAAGGUAUAGAUGUGGACAAAGCCUUUCUAAGCUUCAUUUUCCACAUCUCUGAAGUGGGAAUAAUAAUCUCUUACUUCACAAGGGCG